UCCAACUUAUCGCUGGCGGUCUCCUGAGAGUGCUUCCCUUACGGGAGUGGCAACACAGGACAAGGGUUGCGCUCGUUGCGGGACUUAACCCAACAUCUCACGACACGAGCUGACGACAGCCAUGCAGCACCUCGACUCAAGUCCCUUGCGGGAAGUUCCUGUUUCCAAGAAUGUUCUUAAGCCGUUCGAGCCCAGGUAAGGUUCUUCGCGUUGCGUCGAAUUGAACCACAUGCUCCGCUGCUUGUGCGGGCCCCUGUCAAUUCCUUUGAGUUUUAGCCUUGCGGCCGUACUCCCCAGGCGGGGUGCUUAAUGCGUUAGCUUCGGCACGGAGGGAGUCGACACCCCCCACACCUAGCACCCAUCGUUUACGGCGUGGACUAC
rnacentral:misc_RNA from 1 species